rnacentral:rRNA from 1 species
GGACUGCCUUUUGCAUAAUGAGCCUGCGAGUUGUGGUGUCUGGCAAGGUUAAGCAAACGCGAAGCCGUAGCGAAAGCGAGUCUGAAUAGGGCGCUUAGUCAGAUGCUGCAGACCCGAAACGAAGUGAUCUAUCCAUGAGCAAGUUGAAGCUAGUGUAAGAACUAGUGGAGGACUGAACCCAUAGGCGUUGAAAAGCCCCGGGAUGACUUGUGGAUAGGGGUGAAAGGCCAAUCAAACUUCGUGAUAGCUGGUUCUCUCCGAAAUAUAUUUAGGUAUAGCGUUGUGUCGUAAUAUAAGGGGGUAGAGCACUGAAUGGGCUAGGGCAUACACCAAUGUACCAAACCCUAUCAAACUCCGAAUACCUUAUAUGUAAUCACAGCAGUCAGGCGGCGAGUGAUAAAAUCCGUCGUCAAGAGGGAAACAACCCAGACUACCAGCUAAGGUCCCUAAAUCUUACUUAAGUGGAAAACGAUGUGAAGUUACUUAAACAACCAGGAGGUUGGCUUAGAAGCAGCCAUCCUUUAAAGAAAGCGUAAUAGCUCACUGGUCUAGUGAUUUUGCGCGGAAAAUAUAACGGGGCUAAAGUAAGUACCGAAGCUGUAGACUUGCACACAACUUAGAUUAUUUAAGUUUAGAAUAUGAGAAACUAAGUUAUAUGUUUAGUUAUAUUUUUACUGAUUUUUAUAGAGUAAAGAUAGAAAUAAAACUUAGUAAAAUCAGUAAAAAUAUUCUUAGACUAAAGUUAAGUAGUUUAAGUUGUGUGCAAGUGGUAGGAGAGCGUUCUAUUUGCGUCGAAGGUAUACCGGUAAGGAGUGCUGGAGCGAAUAGAAGUGAGCAUGCAGGCAUGAGUAGCGAUAAUUAAUGUGAGAAUCAUUAACGCCGUAAACCCAAGGUUUCCUACGCGAUGCUCGUCAUCGUAGGGUUAGUCGGGUCCUAAGUCGAGUCCGAAAGGGGUAGACGAUGGCAAAUUGGUUAAUAUUCCAAUACCAACAUUAGUGUGCGAUGGAAGGACGCUUAGGGCUAAGGGGGCUAGCGGAUGGAAGUGCUAGUCUAAGGUCGUAGGAGGUUGUACAGGCAAAUCCGUAUAACAAUACUCCGAGAACUGAAAGGCUUUUUGAAGUCUUCGGAUGGAUAGAAGAACCCCUGAUGCCGUCGAGCCAAGAAAAGUUUCUAAGUUUAGCUAAUGUUGCCCGUACCGUAAACCGACACAGGUGGGUGGGAUGAGUAUUCUAAGGCGCGUGGAAGAACUCUCUUUAAGGAACUCUGCAAAAUAGCACCGUAUCUUCGGUAUAAGGUGUGGUUAGCUUUGUAUUAGGAUUUACUCCGAAAGCAAGGAAACUUACAACAAAGAGUCCCUCCCGACUGUUUACCAAAAACACAGCACUCUGCUAACUCGUAAGAGGAUGUAUAGGGUGUGACGCCUGCCCGGUGCUCGAAGGUUAAUUGAUGGGGUUAGCAUUAGCGAAGCUCUUGAUCGAAGCCCGAGUAAACGGCGGCCGUAACUAUAACGGUCCUAAGGUAGCGAAAUUCCUUGUCGGUUAAAUACCGACCUGCAUGAAUGGCGUAACGAGAUGGGAGCUGUCUCAAAGAGGGAUCCAGUGAAAUUGUAGUGGAGGUGAAAAUUCCUCCUACCCGCGGCAAGACGGAAAGACCCCGUGGACCU